CCUACGGGAGGCAGCAGUGGGGAAUAUUGCACAAUGGGCGCAAGCCUGAUGCAGCCAUGCCGCGUGUGUGAAGAAGGCCUUCGGGUUGUAAAGCACUUUCAGCGGGGAGGAAGGCGGUGAGGUUAAUAACCUCAUCGAUUGACGUUACCCGCAGAAGAAGCACCGGCUAACUCCGUGCCAGCAGCCGCGGUAAUACGGAGGGUGCAAACGUUAAUCGGAAUUACUGGGCGUAAAGCGCACGCAGGCGGUCUGUCAAGUCGGAUGUGAAAUCCCCGGGCUCAACCUGGGAACUGCAUUCGAAACUGGCAGGCUAGAGUCUUGUAGAGGGGGGUAGAUUUCCAGGUGUAGCGGUGAAAUGCGUAGAGAUCUGGAGGAAUACCGGUGGCGAAGGCGGCCCCCUGGACAAAGACUGACGCUCAGGUGCGAAAGCGUGGGGAGCAAACAGGAUUAGAUACCCCUGUAGUC
rnacentral:rRNA from 1 species